rnacentral:tRNA from 1 species
GUAGACGCGCAGAUACGGACAUCUUCACACUGGCAGUGUGGGGGUCAGGGGUUCGAGUCCCCUUAGCUCCA